GGUGAGGUCGCGUAGCUUGGUAGCGCGCAGGCCUGCUAAGUCUGUUUCCUUAGGGAUACGGGGGUUCAAAUCCCCCCCUCACCGCCA
rnacentral:tRNA from 1 species